GAUGAAGAACGUAGCGAAAUGCGAUACGUAAUGUGAAUUGCAGAAUUCAGUGAAUCAUCGAGUCUUUAAACGCACAUUGCGCCCCCUGGUAUUCCGGGGGGCAUGCCUGUCCGAGCGUCAUUGCUGCCCUCAAGCACGGCUUGUGUGUUGGGCCUCCGUCCUCCUCCCGGGGGACGGGCCCGAAAGGCAGCGGCGGCACCGCGUCCGGUCCUCGAGCGUAUGGGGCUUCGUCACCCGCUCUUGUAGGCCCGGCCGGCGCUUGCCGACACAUCAAUCUUUUUUCCAGGUUGACCUCGGAUCAGGUAGGGAUACCCGCUGAACUUAAGCAUAUCAAAAAGCGGAGGA
rnacentral:misc_RNA from 1 species